CAGUCGCCGCGGUAAUACGAGGGGAGCUAGCGUUAUUCGGAAUUACUGGGCGUAAAGCGCACGUAGGCGGCUUUGUAAGUUAGAGGUGAAAGCCCAGAGCUCAACUCUGGAAUUGCCUUUAAGACUGCAUCGCUUGAAUCCAGGAGAGGUGAGUGGAAUUCCGAGUGUAGAGGUGAAAUUCGUAGAUAUUCGGAAGAACACCAGUGGCGAAGGCGGCUCACUGGACUGGUAUUGACGCUGGGGUGCGAAAGCGUGGGGAGCAAACAGGAUUAGAUACCCCCGUAGUCCCUGUCUCUUAUAC
rnacentral:rRNA from 1 species